GUGUCAUUCAUCUGCUAAGUGGAUAAGAUGAGAUCUCUCUGUCCUAUAAAUCGGGUCAUUAUGUUUUGCAGGUCCUACGUCUUUCUAUCAAAAUGUCCGAGCAGUCGUAUUGUGAUGGAACACAUCAGACAGGAAGCUAAAAUGAGUAUGACGAAAGACAUUUGUGAUGUCAUCGAGGUGCUUGAUGACUUCAUUGUUGAAAAAGGAGGCUUUUCAAAAAUACGCGCACAAACAGAAAAAUAGUUUUAUAGAAUAGCCAUAAACGGAAUUCUUUGGUGUUCAUUUGGGCUUAACUUGGUUUUCAAAGUGAAGCUUUUCAAAAAUUUGCUUACAAAAAGAAAAAUAGUUUUAUAGAAUAGCCAUAGACGGAAUUAUUUGGUGUUCAUUUGGGCUUAACUUGGUUUUCAAAGGGAGGCUUUUCAAAAAUUUGCUUACAAAAAGAAAAAUAGUUUUAUAGAAUAGCAACAAAUGUUGGUUUUUGGUGUGUGGGUUAACAGGAUUUGUCUGGCACCGUCCAGCUUAUUAAAGUGCCUAUACGACUUAAUUUUUUAUUGUUCCCGCAUGAAUACCUCCGACAAGCGAAAUCUUCGGAGGUAAUAUUCAAAGUAAAAUAAUUAUUAUAGAGUAUCUUAAUAUUAUGAAAUAUAUGUAAAGUUUAUACUGUAAAUAGACAACAGUAAGAAUUAAUUUUAGAAGAUCCACACUCCACAUUUAUAUUAUUGAAAUUUUAUUCAUAAUUUAAAGUAAUUACAUACUUUUAUAUACCUAUUUUAAUUGACGUCAUUCAGUGAAAUAAUUGCGUCGUUUGUACUGUAUGUACGACUUGCGUACCUAUUUUUUUUUCAGAGCAAAUAUUUAGUUAUUUCUGAUUGGUUGUUUUUAACAAUAGCAUUAUGUUCUGAACCAAUCAUUAAGCAGAAUGAUUGUCAUGUUAAAAUCUUGUCAAAAUUUUAAAACAUGGCCGGCGCGAAGCAUGAUUUUUGCGCCUUUGUGCGUAAAACUAAAUUUUAUUUUUGUUUGACGGUGAAAUAUUACGUCAAAUAUUACGGAAAAGGUAAGUUAGUAAGGGCUCAAGGUUUAGGUUAGCUUAAAGCGUUUAGAAGUGCUUUAUUUUGUGUAAAUUUUAGUGUUGAACUCUGCUGUUUGAAUUUGUACUGUAUGUUUUACUAGAGUUUUAAGUUUUGGCCUUGACUCUUUCACAGUUGUUUGCAUUGUUCAUGUUGUAGUAUUCGUCAGAAGUAGUAGUAUUGUUGUAAUUCAACUGUUUUUAUAUUAUCAUAAACAAGAUAAAGUUUUUAAAUUAAAUCUAUGAAUGUUUGUGAAGAAUUAUUUAAUUUAAUUUACAAAGUAGACGUUUACAAUGGGCUAUUCCAUUUAAUAUCCGUACCCCCCCCUGUCGAGGAUACAUGUUUUUCAUUGUCAUACCCCUGAAGAAUUCCAAGCUCAAAACUCUUUACCCCUGAAGAAUUCCAAAAUUCCAAGCUCAAAACUCUUUACCCCUGAAGAAUUCCAAGCUCAAAACCUUUUACCCCUGAAGAAUUCCAAGCUCAAAACCCUUCACCCCUAAAGAAUUCCAAGCUCAAAACCCUUUACCCCUGAAGAAUUUCAAGC
rnacentral:lncRNA from 1 species